UCUUUCAUAUAUGAGAAGGCCUAUUGACUUUCAAUGUGAAUGGAAUCUUAGCUGGCUGAAAUACCAUCUUGGGAAAGUUCAUUUCAUAGAACUUUUCCCUCAGUGCCCUCACAUUCCGGCAGCUAGCCUGACAGCGGAGAAGUCUGAGGCCAGCUUGACUUGUUUUUCACCUUAUGUUUUCUUCUUGGGUUCCUAAAUUCUUUUUCUUUAAAUUUAAAUCAUUGAAGAUAGCUUGGUGCUGAGUAUUCCCAAAGGAGAAUUUCCUAGAAAAUGGCGUGUUCUUUUGACCAUUUCUUCUUCAUUUCAAUAAAAUUUCUUUCACCCUGUUUUUAUUUGCAUUUUCUGACCUAUUUGUUGGUUUUUCUACAUCAGGAAUCUCAAUUAUCCUCAUGCUUCCUGUGCUUUGUCUUCCACACCAGAUUCUUUGUAAUUAAUCUUGGCCCUUCUUCAUCUGCAUUCACUGGGCUUGAAUUAUGCCUUUUGUGUAUUAAAAUGUUCAGGAUCUAUUUUGUUCAUUUUUUUCUUUCUCCUAUAAUUAUGUGUCUAUGGUUUUCAAUUUAUUCCCUUAAAUCCACAAUAUCCUUUUUUAUCUUGAUUUAAAAAUGUUCUCAUCAUUGAGUUUAUUUUAUUGAAUUCAUAUUGUGGUCAAGUUGUGGUAAGCUAUAAGGCUAUUUAUUACAGAGAAUUUCCUUCUGUCCCAAGAGUAGUAUUUCUUUUUAGCAAAACUCCCUGUAAGCUCUGUUCUUUCUUUCCUUUUUUUCUGUUCGUCUUGGAUGGCUGUCACCUGUUACUGAUACAGUGGCAUGAAAUCUUGACCUCCUUUUUAUAACUGACCCUAAUUGCAGUCUGUUCUGCAAAGACUUGGCAGUUUCUCUAGAACAAAGGAUUGGUGCUGGGAUGGGGGAGCCCAGUCAAAGGAAUGCAGUCUGACAGGAUACCUGGGCCUGUUAAGUGUCCUGUGCGUGGGGUGCCUGCCUCUGGGGGAGAGCCUUUGGGUGGCUCUGUCACCCUGUGCUGGCUUUCUCCGCCCCCCUCAGCCAGGCUGACUUUGCUCCACUCACUUGCCUCUGACCAGAGUGAAAAGCCCAGUGCUUUUUUUGUCAGAAAAGGAAAAAGUGAAAUAUGCUGAGACUCAAGUUUUCUUCUCUCCUCUUUCUAAGAAAGCAUUUUCAAGAUUUCUGUAUAAUUUCUGCUGUUUGGGCACACUCAAAUUUUAAAUAUAUUCCUACAAAUCUCAGAAUUAAAACAAGACCAGUAAGCAUAACCCCCCACAUACCAGUUUGCAAACCCUGGCUUGUGGGGAAACUUAACUCAUUUUCCUGUUGGCUCCAGAGAAAAUGUUCAGUGGCUCUGAAUCACUCCCCAUCCUACAUCUCUUUUUUUCCCUCUAUUAUUUUCACUUUUCUCUACUUCUAAUUGCUCUUACUUCAGCCAACUUGCUCUCCCAACUAACUACUUUUCUUUUAUUCUUCCUGAAUUGAAUUUGAUGAGUUCCAUUCUCAGGACUGACAAGUCCACAGAGAAAAGUACAGCCAAGCUCUGCUCCAGCUCAAAUUAUAUUUCACAAAUUAUAUAAUGCACAUCUUACAUUUGAACAUCUCUGAAACCAGAGUGCCUCCUGCCCUGGCAUAGCAGUGUAACUGACAGUGUUUUUUCUUAGUGACAUAAAAUAAAGGUGCAUUUUAUACUCAAUGACAUUGCAGUUUUGAUAAAAUAUGAUGACUGAUAGUCAAAGGAUAUAUAUGCCAUUGACUCUUCAAUAGUUCAAAGGUUUAUGGAAUAGAAAAAUGAGUCCAAUACAGCUCUGUGUAUGCAUGUGGGAGGGACUGAAGACAGUACCUCUGGGUCUAUGGUUUUUCUCUUCGUUGUUUUGUUUUGCUUUUCUUAGACCAGAUUACAAGCAGAUCUUCUUUAACUUUUAAUAAAUACAUGAGAAACUUUAGAGAAAUGCUGGUAAGAAGAAAAGAGCCAUGCAGAUUUUUGAUGGUCGAAAAUUGAAAAGCAACUUGUGAACUACAGCACUUAAAAAUUCAAGCCAUUUCCUUAAACAGGUCAAACCUUAUCAACGGUAAGAUGCUCACACCUCAAUUACUGUAGAGCAGAUUUUGGUAACGUCCCCGGCUCCACCCCUUUUCUCCCCGGAGCCUGAACAGCAGGUGGGUGCGGAGGGGCAGGUACUCAGACACCCUGCCAGGAUGUGGGGUUGGUGUCAGCCUGUGGCUCUCAGCCCCGGAGUCAAUUAGCAGGGCCGGGAGGGGGGGCGGAGGCGGGGUAGUCCAGGAGUCUCGGGGCCGGCCUCCCCACUCCCGGAACUCGUCCAGCUCAGAGCUGACCCUCAAGCACAUUUGAGCCAUUUGCCAAACAAAAGCAAGGAAAUGAAACAAAUACUAAAAGAAAAAAGGGGGAGGGAUAUCUACAGCUUUUCAGUAAUGCCCUCGCUAGCCACACAGGCGGGCUGAACCGGCUGACUUGGUGGGGCUCGACGCCAGCGCCCGCUCCCCUGCCGACCCUGGAGGGGCCGCUCCGGUCCUUGCGCUGUCCUCCCUCCAGCUACGCGAAGUAUCUGAAAGGACGCAGGCCUCUCCCGCCCGGGAACAAAGGAUGAAAGUAUGUGGCCAAGUCAUCUGCUAAGGAUGAGAUGAGUAGGAAGGAUCAUGAAGGAGGUUUGUGGAGAAAGAACAUUCUGGAUGUAGAAUACUCUUCUCCAUCAAAGAUUUCAUGAUGGGAGGGACCCCUAGAGGGGAAGCUGUAAGAAAUUCCAACAUGAAUGUGUGAAGCCCUCAGAGUGGGAUCAGCACACUUACAAGAAGAGAACUCUCACCUGGAAUCAAAUUGGCUGGCACCUUGUCUUGGAUUUCCAGCCUCCAGAACUGGGAGAAAUAAAUAUCUGUUGUUUAAGCCACCUGGUCUGUGGUAUUGUGGUAGAGCAGCCCAUGUUGACUUAAACAAUAUGGUUUUUAUAUAAUUGAAUUUUCCAGAAACAAAAUCUGCUGUGUAAAUUGAGAGAGGACUGUUCUUGUUUUGCUCAGAAUUAUACCACCAGUUCUUCUCUGUUCUGAAAAAUCACACACCAAUAAAAACAGUCCCAGCAUCUGAGUUAACAGAGGAUCACGCCUGUCUCAGACUGUGUGGCAGAUGUGGUGUUUGUGGUGUGUCCCGAGCAGAAAGUUAGCAUGACCCACUGUACAGAUUAGCACAUUCUCUGUUGGCUGUCAAGGGAAGAUUUGACAAAGGUGAGACCAGGAAUGCAGAAUACAGUGCAGAGGAUCUUGUGGUAGCCCAGAGGUGACGGAGCCCUGGAUCAAGACAUCAGAGUGUGAGGAUGGGUUAGAAAUACUUCAGAGUAUGAAUCAAUAGGAUGUGGUGCUAGAUUGAUUAUGUGGAGUUAGGGUUACAUAAUGAGUACAGACAAGCUCCCAAGAUCCUAGAUUAAGCAGCUGUUAGAUGGAGGCACUGUUUUCUUUCUUUAAAAAAAUUUUUUUUUAUUAAGAUAUCAUUAAUACACACUCUU